rnacentral:rRNA from 1 species
UCUCAGAUUGAACGCGGCGGCAUGCUUAACACAUGCAGGUCGAACGGGAAAGUUCCUUCGGGAGCGAGUAGAGUGGCGAACGGGUGAGUAACACGUAGGAAUCUACCUAACAGUGGGGGGCAACUCGAGGAAACUCGAGCUAAUACCGCAUACGCCCUACGGGGGAAAGCGGGGGACCUUCGGGCCUCGUGCUGUUAGAUGAGCCUGCGGCGGAUUAACUUGUUGGUAGGGUAAAAGCCUACCAAGGCGACGAUCCGUAGCUGGUCUGAGAGGAUGAUCAGCCACACUGGGACUGAGACACGGCCCAGACUCCUACGGGAGGCAGCAGUGGGGAAUAUUGGACAAUGGGCGAAGGCCUGAUCCAGCAAUGCCGCGUGUGUGAAGAAGGCCUUAGGGUUGUAAAGCACUUUCAGUGGGGAAGAAAAGCUCGAGGUUAAUACCCUCGGCCUUGACGGACCUCA